AUGUCAUGAAGACACUUUUUUGACAUCUCCUUGUAUCUUUUCCAAACUUCAUAGAAGAACUCUUCAUCCCUUUGGGUAAAGAUUUGGAUGUCAUGUCUUAGCUU